rnacentral:rRNA from 1 species
GCCAGACUCCUACGGGAGGCAGCAGUGGGGAAUAUUGGGCAAUGGACGCAAGUCUGACCCAGCAACGCCGCGUGAAGGAAGAAGGCUUUCGGGUUGUAAACUUCUUUUAAGGGGGAAGAGUAGAAGACGGUACCCCUUGAAUAAGCCACGGCUAACUACGUGCCAGCAGCCGCGGUAAUACGUAGGGGGCAAGCGUUAUCCGGAUUUACUGGGUGUAAAGGGGGCGCAGACGGCGAUGCAAGCCAGGAGUGAAAGCCCGGGGCCCAACCCCGGGACUGCUCUUGGAACUGCGUGGCUGGAGUGCAGGAGGGGCAGGCGGAAUUCCUGGUGUAGCGGUGAAAUGCGUAGAUAUCAGGAGGAACACCGGUGGCGAAGGCGACCUGCUAGAACAUAACUGACGCUGAGGCGCGAAAGCGUGGGGAGCAAACAGGAUUAGAUACCCUCGUAA